rnacentral:lncRNA from 1 species
CGGACGUAGCUCUCUAGCCUAGGCAUCAUACUUAGCUGAGCUCACAGAGGCUGGCGGACGUGCGCCCCAUGGCGGAGCGAGCUGAAGUUGCAGCCUGGGACCAGGGAAAUCAAGAGGUAAAAAUGCGGCCAAACCAUUAUGAGGAAAAGGGGCCAAGAAUUACACUGUAGCGCCUCGCGCCGGCUCCCCGGUCUCCUGGGGAGCGAAGGGAGCCUGAAGAGCUGGUCCUUAUACAGCUUUCUGAAAUCCCUGAGAUCUGUCAAUGAAUCGCGCAUCUUUCACUCCACAAGUAUUUGUUGAACGUCAUUGUGAUCAUGCUGGCUGCUGUGUGGAGAAAAGACCGAGGGGAAGUAAAAGAACAAAGAACAAAAGAGAACAUGAUGGCUUGGAUCAAGGUAGUGCCGGUGGUGAUAGUGAGAAAUGGAGAAAUUCUGGGUAUAUUUUGGAAGCAGAGCCUAUAGGAUUUGCUUGCAGAACAGGAGACAUUUGGUUGGCAGAUAUAAGGCUCUGGAGUUCAAGGGGGAGGUUCGGGCUUCAUCAGCAUUUAGGUAGUAAUUCAAGCCAUGAGAUAGGACAAGAUCAUCUAGGUAGUGAAUAUGGAUAAAAUACAGAAGGGGUUCAAGAACUAGGCUCUGAUGUACUCCCAAUAUUUAGAGGUUAGAAGAUGAGCAGGACCCAGUAAAGGAGUGGCUAGAAAGAUAGGAGAAAAACCAGGUAAGUGUGGUGUCCUGGAAGCCUGAUUCAGAGAUAGGAAUUGAUAUAUUGUACCAAAUAGUGUAGAUAAUUCAAAUAAAAUGAGGACUGAAAAAUGACUAUUGGAUUUAGUAAUUGUGGAGGUCAGUGGUAACCUAGUGAUGAGAAGGGCAGUUUCAGUGGAGUGGUAGAGGCAAAAUCCUGAUAGAGUGGAUUCAAAAGAGAAUACGAGAUAAAAUGGGAGAGAGUAAAUACGUAUUUUUUCAAGAAAAAAAAGUUGGUUAUUUAGUCUUUUGUGAAUGGAUAGAAAAAAGUGAUGCAAGACUGGGCACGGUGGCUCACGCCUGUAACCCCAGCACUUUGGGAGGCUGAGACAGGAAGAUUGCUUGAGUCUGGGAGUUCAAGACCAGCCUGAGCAACAUGGCGAAACACUGUCUCUAUAAAAAAUGAUAACAAGGCUGGGCGCGG